CUCUUUUUAUACCUUUACCCCCAACCCACCCUGGUCUCUGGCGUCCCAGCCUCCAGCUCCCUCGCCUCCAGCCUUUCUCUGGCGAAAUUCCCUUUUCCUGUGUUCUCUGUUCUCUGCUAACUAUCAGUCCUGCUUCUCAGAGCAGAGUCCUUCUGUCCCUCCACCCCUGCCUUCUGACCAUCCUAGACUUUGGCACAACCUGGGCUGCCGAGUUCCCCUCCUCCUGACACCUCCCCCCUCCUUACCCCCCAGACCAGACUGGGCCUGCCCUCCACUGGAAAGCUUGAGGGCUGGAAGCUCAGGGCCCUCCAUCGGGCAUGGGAAGCCCUGCUCAGAGGACAGCUCCUCAUCCUGCUUUGUUGUGUGAAUAGGGCCGAAUAAGUGGAUGAUUAAAUGAGUGAGCAGAUAUGGCUUAGACACACGCUACUGUAUAAAACAGCCAAGUCCUGAGGAAUCCGAUCCUGGAAUCGGAUCCACCGUGUAUUUACUGAGCAGCAAUCCCAGUGCAGGGCUCCACAGAGGUGACCCUGAAAGCACUGGCAUUGGGAGAGAGGACCAUGGGUUUGGAUCUGGAGGCAGGACCUGUCUUCAGUGCUGGGUUACUUAAUGCAUGACUCAGGGCUAUUCUCCCAGUCCAAAAUGUGGAGGAGGAUAAGACUGACCUCACAGGGCUGUGUGUGAAAGCUGAAACUCCAUACAUACAUGACGGUUGAUGUUAAUAUAACUGUUUACAUGCAGCCAUAAAUUCUAAGCCUAGACUUCAGGGUCCCUGUGUGCAGUGACUGAGUUCACAGGCGCCUCUGUGGGCAACAUACUCUCCGGAAGCAGCGCCAGGGCUAAGACUUGGACGAUGGUCCGCAGGAUCAGAAGCCUCUAGGGGACAGCGCCCCCUUCCCGGCCGCGGGCGUCCCCUUCCCCGCCUGCAGCCUCAGGCGCUCUCGGUGCGCGGUUCCGGAGCAGAGUGCACGCAGUCAGGCACCAGAUGCAUCACUUAAGUUCUACUGGACCUUUCCUCCUCAAAGGGCACUUGAAGUUCAAGUGAAUAGGGGACAGAUCCUGACUUAGAGCCAGAAGUCCAGUCCCAUCUGGGCACAUCUGAGCAACCUCUCAGCCAGCACACAGGGUGGAAAGCCUCGGAGGCCCAGGGAACCGCUGAGGGGCUGGCCUGUGUUGCGUGCGUACCCAAGACAGCGCCCAGCGUACUGAGGAUCUCUUGAUGGUCAGAGGUGAAGAGGAGCCCUCUCCAGGGGAUCUGUCCUCAGGGAUAUGUAUCUGACCACCGACUCCCGCUGAGGAACCGCGAGAGGCCUCCUGUGAGAGCUGGGAAGUUAAACUGUGUCCACUGUCACCUCACUGCUUCCAAUUUGUAGUCUUGGGGAAGAAGACCUCAAAAUACAUGGCUGUCACUGCUCAGUGGAAGAGAGAGCAUUAAAGCAAUUUCCCCAUCACCACCAAACCAGACCAAAACAACUCUCUGAUUUGGGAAUGUAAUCAUAUAA